UGUGUGAUGCUCCUUUAGCCCCGGGGCAGUACCGUCAGGCUCUAGCCCCAGCCUUUUGGGCAGAUCCCUGAGGCCCCUACAGGAGAGUUUUUUGCUCAAAAAGCUGCAGGUCAAAGCGGACCCAGACCUCCCCGGUGGGGACCUCGUGCAGCAGGAGUCGGCGGGUUGUGGGGCCUUUGCUUUCCUGUUCUGUGCGAAUUUUUGCCACUGGAACUUCAGUGCGACCCAGGAAAUCUGGAGAAUAGACAUGUGAGAGUCAAAGGAGGAGUGUCUGAAAACAUUCGUAAGAUUUUCAAAUCCAGAACAGUUAACUUCUUUUGGUGAGUGGCUGUCUGAUAACUGUGCAUGGACGCACGUCCAGUGGGAGGUCCAUGGGAGGGAAACUGCCUUCUUGGAAUCCAAGUUCCUUCAGGCAGAGCGUGUCUCACCCAUUGAGUAGGUUCUGGGAGCAGGGUUUCUGUUGUGUAAGUAGGGAGUGACGGGGGUCCAUGACUGACACGCCAGGGACCAUCCCUCCUCCUGGAAGACCCGUCCCACUUCCCACAUGAGCUGCAGGUGCCCGUGGGCCCAUGUCAUUUUCCUUAGGUAUCACAGGGAAAGCCAAGCACCCUGGAUCUAGACCCUAAAUUCUAGAGUAUUCAGAUUCCCUGGUCGAGUUAUACUUUACCAUCUGGUGAAAACUGGUCUCUGUCAAACAUGGUGAGACACAGCACAUCUUGGUAAAGGUCCUUGAUAAAGAACUGGCAGUUAAAAUUCCACUUGGGAUUGAGUGUGUCCUGGAGGGUUCUGGUGGUAUAGCUCUGGGAGCCCAUGCUGAUUUCACAGUAUGGAUUGCUCUUUCCUGGACAAAAACAAACCAAAGACACAUGUGGCAUGUGUACGUAAGAUAAAUGACGACAGGACCUUACUUGAGCAGAAGCAGGAGCCAAAUGGAUGCUUCUCUGUAAGCCACGACAGCAGGGGCACUGACUGAGGGCCCAGCCCAGACUGAGGGUCUCCAUAUCCCCAGUGCUGAUAGCUUCAUAAACUAGGGAGCACCUGUGUGGGCUCCAGCGCCCCAAAUGCUCCCCGUGAGGCUGGACACGUGUCUGUGCAAUUUCUACUCAGAAGCCCUGAGGAAUGAGGCGCUGGUACUUAUUAGCAAGACACAGUGAGGAUACUAUUGGUCCAAUAACCAUUUUAGUGGCACUGGAAACACUGAUUUUUUAAACGUGUCCCAUUAUUCAAUGUUCAGAAGAAUCAUCAGCAAAGAAUAGGCCAGUUACCACAUCUGUUGAAUGAAAGAAGCAUUUACCAUUGGGUUUACAGGCUUUUAGUUCUGUAGCUUCGAUGACGUGCACCAUCAGACGCCCGAUGCCUGAAGUCUUUUGAGAGCGAGCUACAAGAGAGGAAGACGAGUGACAUCAGUUUCUUCUCUGAGAACGCAGGUCUGAAGAUGCGCGUCCAAUCCCACACGUCACUCCCCGCUCUCUACCCCGCCCUGCGCAUCCAUUAACUCAGCUUAGGAGCGCCCCACAGCCCGCUGGUUCUGAAAUUCUGUGUCCUGUCCGUCCUCUGUCAGGAAAGGCGGCUGCAGGGCGUCUACUGCUUAUUCAGCCUUGUAUUAAUAAACAUCCCAUUGGCUAGCAAAUGGUAAUAUUAAUAAAAUAAUACAUUAUAUCCAUUCAGCACUUAAAA